rnacentral:rRNA from 1 species
GACGAACGCUGGCGGCGUGCCUAACACAUGCAAGUCGAGCGAGGUCCAUCCGGUGGCAACACUGGUGAAGACCUAGCGGCGAACGGGUGAGUAACACGUGAGAAACCUGCCCCGAAGACCGGGAUAACCCUCCGAAAGGAGAGCUAAUACCGGAUGCCCUCGCCGCGCCGCAUGACCUGGUGAGGAAAUGGAUUCCGCUUCGGGAGGGUCUCGCGGCCUAUCAGCUUGUUGGUGAGGUAAUGGCUCACCAAGGCUUCGACGGGUAGCUGGUCUGAGAGGAUGAUCAGCCACACUGGGACUGAGACACGGCCCAGACUCCUACGGGAGGCAGCAGUGGGGAAUCUUGCGCAAUGGGCGAAAGCCUGACGCAGCAACGCCGCGUGGGGGAUGAAGGCUCUCGGGUUGUAAACCCCUUUCAGCAGGGAAGAUUAUGACGGUACCUGCAGAAGAAGCCCCGGCCAACUACGUGCCAGCCGCCGCAGUAA